rnacentral:rRNA from 1 species
UACAGAGGGUGCAAGCGUUAAUCGGAGUUACUGGGCGUAAAGGGCGCGUAGGCGGUAGAUUAAGUGAGAUGUGAAAGCCCUGGGCUUAACCUAGGAACCGCAUCUUAUACUGAUCUGCUAGAGUAUUGUAGAGGGUAGUGGAAUUUCCGGUGUAGCGGUGAAAUGCGUAGAGAUCGGAAGGAACACCAGUGGCGAAGGCGGCUACCUGGACAAAUACUGACGCUGAGGCGCGAGAGCGUGGGGAGCAAACAGG